GAUGAACGCUAGCUACAGGCUUAACACAUGCAAGUCGAGGGACCGGCGCACGGGUGAGUAACACGUAUCCAACCUGCCCUUUACUCCGGGAUAGACUUUCGAAAGAAAGAUUAAUACCCGAUGUAAAGGAUGGGGCUGCGUUCCAUUAGGUUGUUGGUGCGGUAACGGCUCACCAAGCCUUCGAUGGAUAGGGGUUCUGAGAGGAAGGUCCCCCACAGUGGAACUGAGACACGGUCCAAACUCCUACGGGAGGCAGCAGUGAGGAAUAUUGGUCAAUGGGCGUUAGCCUGAACCAGCCAAGUAGCGUGAAGGAUGAAGGCUUAUGGGUCGUAAACUUCUUUUAUAUAAGAAUAUGUAUUAUAUGAAGAAGGAUCGGCUAACUCCGUGCCAGCAGCCGCGGUAUAC
rnacentral:rRNA from 1 species